GUGACUUGUUUUGGCCAAUGGGGUGUGAGU
rnacentral:piRNA from 1 species